rnacentral:rRNA from 1 species
GACGAACGCUGGCGGCGUGCUUAACACAUGCAAGUCGAACGGAAAGGCCCUGCUUUUGUGGGGUGCUCGAGUGGCGAACGGGUGAGUAACACGUGAGUAACCUGCCCUUGACUUUGGUAUAACUUCAGGAAACUGGGGCUAAUACCGGAUAGGAGCUCCUGCUGCAUGUUGGUGGUUGGUAAGUUUCGGCGGUUGGGGAUGGACUCGCGGCUUAUCAGCUUGUUUGUGGGGUAGUGGCUUACCAAGGCUUUGACGGGUAGCCGGCCUGCGAGGGUGAACGGCCACAAUGGGACUGAGAUACGGCCCAGACUCCAACGGGAGGCAGCAGUGGGGAAUAUUGCAAAAUGGGAGGAAGCCUGAUGCAGCAACGCCGCGUGCGGGAUGACGGCCUUCGGGUUGUAAACCGCUGUCGCAUGUGACGAAGCGUGAGUGACGGUAAUGGGUAAAGAAGCACCGGCUAACUACGUG